rnacentral:rRNA from 1 species
UACGGGGGGGGCAAGCGUUGUUCGGAAUUACUGGGCGUAAAGGGCUCGUAGGUGGCCAACUAAGUCAGACGUGAAAUCCCUCGGCUUAACCGGGGAACUGCGUCUGAUACUGGAUGGCUAGAGUUUGGGAGAGGGAUGCGGAAUUCCAGGUGUAGCGGUGAAAUGCGUAGAUAUCUGGAGGAACACCGGUGGUGUAGACGGCUUUCUGGACCGUAACUGACGCUGAGACACGAAAGCGUGGGUAGCAAACAGG